rnacentral:ncRNA from 2 species
AGCAGCCGCGGUAAUUCCAGCUCCAAUAGCGUAUAUUAAAGUUGUUGCAGUUAAAAAGCUCGUAGUUGAAUUUCGGGGUUAGUAGGUUGGUCAUGCCUCUGGUAUGUACUGGUCUCACUGAUUCCUCCUUCCUGAUGAACCUUAAUGCCAUUAAUUUGGUGUUUUGGGGAAUUUGGACUGUUACUUUGAAAAAAUUAGAGUGUUUAAAGCAAGCUAACGCUUGAAUACAUUAGCAUGGAAUAAUGAAAUAGGACGUUCGAUCCUAUUUUGUUGGUUUCUAGGAUUGACGUAAUGAUUAAUAGGGAUAGUUGGGGGCAUUAGUAUUCAAUUGUCAGAGGUGAAAUUCUUGGAUUUAUUGAAGACUAACUACUGCGAAAGCAUUUGCCAAGGAUGUUUUCAUUAAUCAAGAACGAAAGUUAGGGGAUCGAAGACGAUCAGAUACCGUCGUAGUCUUAACCAUAAACUAUGCCGACUAGGGAUCGGAUGAUGUUAAUUUUUUUAAUGACUCAUUCGGCGCCUU